UACGAUGAGACAAUUGGAUUCAUAGUUCAUGAGGAUGCAAAAACUCUUGGUCGUGAUGCUAAAGAUCGAUAUACUGUAUGAGAUUCGUCAGCUUGGCCGGGGGAAAAAGAGAAGACUUCAAAGUUCAAAUGGAAAGUCAUAUGAGAACAUGACUUCUAGCUGCGUCUGAUCCAUCUUUACUGUAAAAAGAUGCACAAUUAGGAUUUGAUGUGAUCAGCGUUUUCUCACUUUCAGCUAUUAGAAUUGGUUGUAUUAGUUUUAUUCAUGUACACGAUUUCCUAAAAAGCAACUUCGAAAUUGAAUUCCUUACGUUAUCACUUAUCAAUAUUCUAGAAAUUGUUUUAGGUA